CAGCCGCCGCGGGAAAACGAAGGGGGCUAGCGUUGCUCGGAAUCACUGGGCGUAAAGGGUGCGUAGGCGGGUCUUUAAGUCAGGGGUGAAAUCCUGGAGCUCAACUCCAGAACUGCCUUUGGUACUGAAGAUCUUGAGUUCGGGAGAGGUGAGUGGAACUGCGAGUGUAGAGGUGAAAUUCGUAGAUAUUCGCAAGAACACCAGUGGCGAAGGCGGCUCACUGGCCCGAUACUGACGCUGAGGCACGAAAGCGUGGGGAGCAAACAGGAUUAGAUACCCGCGUAGUCCCUGUCUCUUAUAC
rnacentral:rRNA from 1 species